GACAGAGGUCAUGGGGUGCUCUAUCUGUGAUAACAUGACAACCUUGAGAAGACUUAGAUAUGCUUCUUUCAGAAUAUUCCACCGACCUUAUUUUUGCUGAGGAAGCAUGAAUUUGCUCUUGCUUAGGGUAUUUUCUUGGUACAGAUCUGCAUAGUUUCUUCACUUCUCCUUCCCUCAUCACCAGCAUUUCAUCACGUACAGUGCAUUUACAGAGUGAGAAGGCUGGCCUAGUGACAUACAGAAUUAAGCCUGACAAUGGCAGAGCAGUAGUUCUCUGAGCUGCAUUUGAAGAGUGACUGGGCAGAUUUUCGUAUGGCAAAUUUUUACACCAUACCUGUUCAUUUGUAUGCCUCCCAUCUUUUAAAGGAACAUAACAACUUCUUUGCAAAUGCAGUGACUCUUUAAGAAUUUCUCUACAGAAGAGUACUCUCAUUUUUCAGUCAAUUAAUUUCAGAUUAUUUAUUACAUACAGAAAAAUAAUUAUCCCCAAAGAUAAUUAAAUGUUUCAAGACUAAGGAGCAAAGCAAAUGUAGGUUGAAAGUCAUUAUGUACCGAUACAAAAGACUUUUUGUCAGUAAUUUAAUCAUGCAGACAUCCAAAAUAAAUUCUACAGAUCCUAUCCUCAUUGUCUACAGAGACUUCUAUCUGCAUAAAUAACCUCGUUGGACUAUCGUACUCUUGGCAUUUUGGUAAGGAACAGUUUUGAGUAGAUCUAUAUUAAGGCCAUAUUUUGAUCCAAGACACACUCAUGGAAUUGUCUCACUCCCCCCUCUCUGAUGUGGAGCACUACCUGGAGAAAACGAACAGCGCUGACUUUGAAUAAUCCAGCCUGGAGUGGGGCCAGGGCUUGGGCUCCUCCUUGCCAGCUGCAGGGCCCCAGUGCAGCAAGAGCUUCCAAAGGCUAUGUUGCCUCCACAAGUGCCAGAAUGGAUCAACACACUGGCUUCAGCCAGAAGUGGACUCAAAGUAGCUGUUGUUCCUUCUCCCUAAGGAACAUUUUCAGAGGAAUGCCUUAGAGGUAAGAACUAAGGUUCCCAAAAAGGCUAACCUCACGUCAGGAAGGACUGAAGCAUACUCAUUUGCUAAAUGCUCCAUAAAGGGUGACAUUCUUCAGUUACUUUUUGGAUAAAUCCCACUCUGCUUCUGAGAGAAUAUUUAUAGAGAACAUCUCCUGAGCAUCCUGCAAGUGACUGACACAGAUACACAUGGAUUUUGUUUAUUCUCGUCUGCCUUGGUUUAAAAUUUUAUACAUGUCCCCUAGGCACGACUUUGAUGCUGAUUUUUCUAGGGAAAAAAAAUGAAUACGUAAACAAAGAAGUCAUACAUAAAUAAAAUAGUAAAGCAUAAAUCAAAGUCAGCUCCAUUUUUUUUUCUUAAAUGCCAAAUACUUUAAGAAGCAAGAUUCUGUUUCAAUGGCUGCCUUGCCUUAGUUCUUGUCUACUUCAAUUAUGGGGGCUUUUCUUUCUGCAUCAUGACCUUCUGAGGAAUUUAGUUACAUUCUAAAAUUUUAUAACUGCAAAGACAGAAAGCUAAGACCUGUGAAACAGUUUCAUAGCAUCAGCGUUUCGUCUUUUCCCUAUGUGAAAUUUAAAAUGAGAGAGAGGCCAGUUGUCUAUCUAAUGAGAUGGUCUUGUGUCCUUUGUCACCUACUAGCAUGACAAAUCCCGUUACCCAGCUUUUCCUGAGACAUUCUCAGCUAGAUCCCAGGUGGGAAGUCUCUUGCAGACUUUUGUAAUGGCCAUGUAUGUAUUUUGCCUCCCUUACUCAACUCUUUGCACUAGAUGGGUGGUAUUGGCUUCAUAGAGUUCUUGUCAAAGAGCAGCCAAAAGUACUUCCACUGUGGAAGUCCAAUCCCUGAAAUGCUGUUGAGAGCAUUGACCCCCAUAUGGAUCUCCUCAGCAAGUGCUGUAUAUGCCAGCAAGGUCUAUCUUAAUACUCAGUUUCUCCAGGAAUCCAAAAUGUGUUACUUCUGUACAGGAUUCGCGUGUUUGGUCAGUUGUUGCCCUAUCCUUUCCCCUCAAUUUGUAGCAACCAUAAAUUGUCUUUGGCUGGCUCCUGAAGUGGCAUUGCUUGCUUGUUGGCUUUCAGAUGCCAGAUUUCUGUGAAAUAAUUGGGCUCAGUAAAGAUGAGAUAUAAAAAGAUAAAAAUCAGCCCCAAUGGUCCAUUCUGUCACUUUCUUUUUUAAUUCAGACUCUGCCUAUGAAGCCCAAGCAACCCAAGCUAGGCUCAACUGUGUUGAAACCAUGUUUGUCCCAGGUGUGUCAAAUUGGUUCAGAAAGUAAGCCAUAAUCUGGGAUUACAUGUAGCUAGGAUAUUAUUUUCUGCUUUUAAAGAAUUUCUUCUUUUUUUUCUGCCUGUAUUGAUUAUUUCCUGUGUUUGGUUUCAGCUGUUCGGUAGCUAGCAUGAGACCUCAGACUGAGGAAACAUCACAAUGCACAGACUCAGCUGAAUAGCUCCCUGCCCACACAUCUUUCUAUGUAGUACUUCAAAAUAUGCAUUUCCUGCACAUGCUAUAAUUAGGCUUUUUCAUUCUCCCUCCAGUUGUUAUUAAAAUACUCAUUAUCUACUACAAAACACUUUUAUUAUGCUAUUUUUUAUAUCCCUCUUGUUACUUCAGGAAGCAAAUAAAGACAUUUUAGUGGAUGUAGUUCUAACAGGGGAAAUUCCAGCACUGCUUCACCAUGGCAAUGGGGUGCAAUCAUCAAUGAAGCAACAACUUCACUGUGGAUCACUGCAACUGCUAAAAGAUCUGAAGCUGGCUUGCAGCCACAGAUGACAGUCUGCACCUCUUUGAGCUGUGUAGGCAAAUGCUGAACUUGAGUCCAGUUCAGAAGAUCUUGAAAGGAUUAAUACCGGCCCUUGGACCUCAAGCAGGAGACAAGAGGUGAAGAAGUGAAGAGGCAGAAGAUUCUUUGACUGUCAAUAGUUUGUGAAUUGAGUAAAAAUUCCACAAAAUGUGGCUUGUCCAGAGCAGGAUAUUUGCUACUAUCUCUGAAUGAUGUCUUACUCUCAGAGAAGACACUGGAUUCUCAGUCCAAAGUUCAGCCCUUUCAAAAAGGAUAAUAAAGCAAAAGAUAAUAAAAAGAAAGAAAAACCUUUCAGAUGUAAUCUUUGACUCCUAACAGAGGGAGCUGGGAAAGGGCUUUGGGUUGAUUUCUAAUUCCAUACACUGCUUGUCUGAGUUGACACUUCCAGCUUCACACCUGAAGAAACAAAAGGAAAGAUGCAACGCCACUGUUUGCAGCUGACCUCUAGCCAACUGCUGGAGUUGCAUUCAGUACCCAAGCAGCAUGUUCCAGCCACAGCUGCAAAUGUUCUAGAAGGUUUGGAAAUUGUUUCUGAAAUGUUAAUUCAUUCAAAGUGCUUCUGAAGGGAAAAGACCUGUCAGAGAUGCUAGACCUCUCAGAAGAAUUUCCAAGGCAACAUGUUCAUGCUCAUGGAUAUCUCUGAUUAAAAUAUGUCCCUUCUUUGGUGUUAAUCUGAUCUAGAAGGUGCAAAUUAGGCUGUGAGAAGACUGAAAGGAAUAUGUUCUGGAUUUAUUUGUACAGAAGUAUAUAAAUUUUGAGUAUGAACUCAAGGCACUAAAAAGACCUUACCAUAAUCAGGUAAUUAUGAUUUCCAUUUUAGCUGAAUUGAAGUAUGAUAAUGCACCCCUGUAAAUUUAAACCUUUAUGUAUGAUCUGAACUUGCUUUGACUUUUCCCAUGCGAGAUACAGAUUAAACUUUUUACUUAUCUCCAAACAUGAUCAAACACGCAAGGAAUAUUAAUGUGUUUAAUGUGCACAGUUAGAUAGAAAUGCACUUCCUGUAUGAGCAAAGAGUUUCAUAAUUGUCUGUGGCUAAAACAAAAAGGUGAUAUUAUACUGAAAGCAAGGUAACAUGAGGAACGUAGUUCCAUCUAACUUUGAAAUACUUCAAUGUUAAUAGAGAGUCUGGUGGUAACAGGCUCACAAAUCAAGAUAAAAGUUCAAAGAUGCAUAUGUAAGCAAUCAAACGCUAACUGCAUAGCUGAAUGCACAUUAGACAGUCAACUUAGAUAUAAGUUUCCUGUAA
ensembl:lncRNA